ACCACCCUCACACAAUGACUGGCAUAAUAACUCCCAAGCAAUGAAGUGGAUUCCACACUACUUGCCUUGAGCAUCCCAUAGGAAACUUCGAAACAACCUCUCCAUCUCCUUAAGAUAAUUCUUUAAUAGAAUAGUGUUAAUCAAAAGAUAGAUCAGUAUAGAGCUUUAGACAGAUUGUACCAAAGUAAGCCUCUCCAUUAUGGAUAAGGAUUUGGCCUACUAGAUUUCAAGGUGCUCUUGGGUACCCAUCAUUGCGCUAGCACACUACCCCCUC
rnacentral:lncRNA from 1 species